AUAAGGAAACCAGAACUGGAAAUGAAGAGGUGGAAAUGAAGGAAAUAAAAACCUUAUCUUCUGUUUGCUUUCUGUGGGAAGAGAAACAUGAGACAGAAGCAAAACCAUAUAUACCAGAAAGAUGACUACAUAUUCCUUUGGACGGAAUGCUUGAAGGUUUGGCACGUUAUGGCUUACAGGGACUACCAAGGAGCUCUCAAGAGGCUGUUACAUUCUGCCAGGACCACCCAUGGGGACAACAGUCCUUUCCUGAAUGGCAUUGGGAAAGAGAACCUCACUGUCUACAGUGCACACCAAGCAGCAAAUAAUGCUCAUUUAGAAGAUGAAUGCAGUUGCAGAACAAAGUAGCUCAUGAGAAACCAAAAGUAAUCAAAUUCUAAAUCUUCUUGGAGUCCAAUGAAAUUUAUAUAAAUCAAUCUUUCUAAUAAAUAAAGGGUGCCACAGACAAGAAGUACUGCAUGGCUAAAUUGACAUUUACAUUUGUGUCAAUAGUAAUUAAUAUGCAGAAAUUAAAAAGACAUGCUACAUUCAUCUGUGUCAACAUGAGAAGGUAGAAUAAAAAGUAAUGUUAAUCAUCUUUGUGUUUAAUACAUAAUACAGAGAGAG